rnacentral:rRNA from 14 species
ACCCCGGGAGGGGAGUGAAAUAGAUCCUGAAACCGCGUGCUUACAAAAAGUAGGAGCCUCGAAAGGGGUGACUGCGUACCUUUUGUAUAAUGGGUCAGCGACUUACAUUCAGUGGCAAGGUUAACCGAAUAGGGAAGCCGUAGAGAAAUCGAGUCCGAAUAGGGCGAUUCAGUCGCUGGGUGUAGACCCGAAACCAAGUGAUCUAUCCAUGGCCAGGAUGAAGGUGCCGUAACAGGUACUGGAGGU